GGAGUCGCGCAGAUAUUGGUCGAACCUUAGAGCAGUGCUUGAGGACCUCUUGGACGGCGUCUCCCCACCGGCUGUGGUC
rnacentral:SRP_RNA from 1 species